GCGCAGUAGACAAACAAACAAGGCAGGUACCGGAGCAAACUUUUUUGCAUUUCGCACAAAACGCUGUUUUAUUAGAUUAUAAUGAAAUUAAAAAACAAACGGGUCGGGACCACUUGUUAGGCAGAAUAAUAAGGUAUAUACGUACGGAGUGGCCAACUGAUUGUGAAAUCAAGACAUUACAACCUUAUUAUAAUCGUAAGCAGGAAUUAUAUGAGGAACUAGGGUGCAUCUUAUGGGGACAUAGGGUGGUAAUUCCGGAGUCUUGUAGGGAAAAGGUACUUACAGUGUUACAUGAGGCUCAUAUGGGGAUCGUAAAAACCAAAGCUUUUGCGAGAAGCUAUGUGUGGUGGCCAGGGAUGGACGAGGCCAUAGAAGCUAUGUGCCGGGGGUGCGGGGUAUGCGCAGCGGAGGCGGAUAUGCCACCGCGACAUGCGCCGUGUCCUUGGCCAUGGCCGGAUAAGCCUUGGUCACGUAUACACAUGGACUGAUCGUCUCUGACAAUGGGCCACCAUAUACAAGUCAGGAAUUUGCACAAUUUUUAAAUAGUAACGGUAUCGAGCACAUUUUUUCAGCGCCAUACCACCCGGCAUCGAAUGGGGCGGCAGAGAAUGCAGUUCGUCCUGUUAAAAGGGUAAUUAAAAAAGCCAUAAGAGAGAACAAAGACGUAACAUUAUCGUUAAACUAACCACUAGACCAAUGAGUCGUAGUAUAUCGGACCGAGAGUGGGAUAAAAAAUAAAAUAAUAAUAAUUAUUAAUAAACAAAGGAGCUUAUCGAUAUUGGUGGACCCGUUUGAAGAUACAGAAGAGGUACUCGUUCACAUUAACUAGACUCUAGACUAGAUACUACUACUGUACUAAUUAAUUUGCGCAUUUUGCCAACUAACACUUCCCUCGCCAUUAAAAUACCUAACGUAAAGCUGCGUAUAAAUUAAGCGCGGCAGCCGCGCGAGCCAAUGUUCGACCAUAGUUGACCUUCAUUUGCCACGCGAGCCAAUAUGUUGGUAUAAAUUUAGUUGGACGUGACUGCCGCGCGCGGCAGGCGAUCGAUCACAAACAGAUCGCGGCAGAUAGUCAGACCAGUUCACUCUUGUAAACCUGCGAGUAUGGACGCGCGUGGUCGGGCGGCUGCCGCUUUCAUUGUGAUUCACCAUCUUAUUUGUAAAAAAAAUAAAAGAAAAAGGCGUUGGUGGAUGAAAAACUUAUAUCUUAAUAGAUCGCUAUAUAGCGUGAAACUUCUGGAAGACAUAAGAUAUGAAGCCGUUGAAGACACUAUAAAAAAAUUUACGCGAGUGUCAACUGCAGAGUUCGAAUUAAUAAAAUCAUUAAUAGAACCAAGUGUUAUGAAAAUGAAUACGCAAUUUCGAGAGGCAAUAUCAGUUACUGAAAGAUUAGCAAUAACUUUAAGAUUUCUGGCAACUGGAGACUCCUAUACUAGCCUGCAAUACCUUUUUCGAGUAUCUAAACAGUCAAUUUCAAGAAUUAUUCCUGAAGUUUGCGAUGCACUUUGCGAUGCACUUAAAGACUGGGUAAAGGUACCGGACUCAGAAGAAGAAUGGUUCCAGAUAGCACACGAUUUCGAAAACAAAUGGGACUUUCCUCAUGCAGUAGGUGCAUUGGAUGGCAAACAUGUAGUGUUGCAAGCACCUAUAAACAGUGGCACAGAAUUUUUCAACUACAAAAAGUUUUUUAGUUUAGUAUUACUAGCUUUAGUCGAUGCAGACUAUUGUUUUACGUAUGUAAAUGUGGGCUGUCAAGGUAGACUAUCUGAUGGCGGUAUUUUCAAAAAUACAAACUUAUACAAAAAACUAGAAGAAAAAUCUAUGAGACUUCCUCCUCCAUUCAUUCUUCAAGUGCCCUAAUUCUUCAAAGUACCAUAUGUGAUUCUAGCGGACAAAGCUUUUGCUUUAAAUGUAUAUAUAGUAUAUUACUAUGAAACCAUUUCCAGGAGAUCUAGAAAGGGGUUCCGAGGAAAGAAUCUUUAAUUACAGGUUAUCUCGAGCACGUAGGUGUGUGGAAAAUGCAUUCGGGAUUCUGAGCUCAGUUUUUAGAGUUUUACGCAAACCUAUGUUACUACAACCAAAGAUUGCUACAUAACAUGGAGAAAUGAAACUGCCCCUACAUCACUACUGCCUCUUAACUAUAUCCCAAGAAGAGCGGGAAAUUUUGCACAACAAAUACGUUCACACCUAGCCCAUCACUUUGUUACCAAUGGUGCAAUAUCUUGGCAAAAUAGAUAUUAGAACUUGUACUCACAUUUUAUCCCUCAUGAAAUUAAAGUCUUCGAAACGUAAACUUCAUUUGUGGCUGUAAUAAAAAUAAAAAUUAUUUACGUAAUUACAAAAUGCGUUUUAUUUUUUGUUGUAAAUGCAAAAUAAAUAGGUACUUACCAGAACCAGUACGACAACUUUUAUCUAUUCUAGAUUCUUCUCUUCUGUAGGACGCCAAAAGUGUAGUCAUUUUCUUUUUCAAGUCAGGAAUAGGUAUAUCCAUUUUCUUACUGAUAUCUACCCACGCAUCAUACCUCAGCGAUUUAUUGUGGUAUUGGGUGGAUUUGCUGUUCCACAAAAAUUCUUUAGCGCUAUACAAUUGAA